GACGAACGCUGGCGGCGUGCUUAACACAUGCAAGUCGAACGGAAAGGCCCUGCUUUUGUGGGGUGCUCGAGUGGCGAACGGGUGAGUAACACGUGAGUAACCUGCCCUUGACUUUGGGAUAACUUCAGGAAACUGGGGCUAAUACCGGAUAGGAGCUCCUGCUGCAUGGUGGGGGUUGGAAAGUUUCGGCGGUUGGGGAUGGACUCGCGGCUUAUCAGCUUGUUGGUGGGGUAGUGGCUUACCAAGGCUUUGACGGGUAGCCGGCAUGGGAGGGUGACCGGCCACAUUGGGACUGAGAUACGGACCAGAAUCCUACGGGAGGCAGCAGUGGGGAAUAUUGCACAAUGGGCGGAAGCCUGAUGCAGCAACGCCGCGUGCGGGAUGACGGCCUUCGGGUUGUAAACCGCUUUCGCCUGUGACGAAGCGUGAGUGACGGUAAUGGGUAAAGAAGCACCGGCUAACUACGUG
rnacentral:rRNA from 1 species